GACGAACGCUGGCGGCGUGCCUAAUACAUGCAAGUAGAACGCUGAAGAGAGGAGCUUGCUCUUCUUGGAUGAGUUGCGAACGGGUGAGUAACGCGUAGGUAACCUGCCUUGUAGCGGGGGAUAACUAUUGGAAACGAUAGCUAAUACCGCAUAACAAUGGAUGACACAUGGCAUUUAUUUGAAAGGGGCAAUUGCUCCACUACAAGAUGGACCUGCGUUGUAUUAGCUAGUAGGUGAGGUAACGGCUCACCUAGGCGACGAUACAUAGCCGACCUGAGAGGGUGGUCGGCCACACUGGGACUGAGACACGGCCCAGACUCCUACGGGAGGCAGCAGUAGGGAAUCGUCGGCAAUGGGGGCAACCCUGACCGAGCAACGCCGCGUGAGUGAAGAAGGUUUUCGGAUCGUAAAGCUCGGUUGUAAGUCAAGAACGAGUGUGAGAGUGGAAAGUUCACACUGUGACGGUAGCUUACCAGAAAGGGACGGCUAACUACGUG
rnacentral:rRNA from 1 species